rnacentral:rRNA from 1 species
UACGUAGGCAGCGAGCGUUGUUCGGAAUUACUGGGCGUAAAGAGUGUGUAGGCGGUGCUCUAAGUUCGGUGUGAAAUCUCCUGGCUCAACUGGGAGGGUGCGCCGGAAACUGGAGUGCUUGAGCGUGGGAGAGGAAAGCGGAAUUCCUGGUGUAGCGGUGAAAUGCGUAGAUAUCAGGAGGAACACCUGUGGUGUAGACGGCUUUCUGGACCAUUGUUGACGCUGAGACACGAAAGCGUGGGUAGCAAACAGG